CCGUUGCCGGCGACCGGCGCACCGGGUGAGUAACACGUAUGCAACCUGCCCGUGGCAGGGGGAUAAGCGGGGGAAACCCCGUCUAAUACCGCGUAACGCGGCCUAGGGACAUCCCAAGGCCGCCAAAGGGAGCAAUCCCGGCCACGGAUGGGCAUGCGGCGCAUUAGCUAGUCGGCGGGGUAACGGCCCACCGAGGCGACGAUGCGUAGGGGUUCUGAGAGGAAGGCCCCCCACACUGGUACUGAGACACGGACCAGACUCCUACGGGAGGCAGCAG
rnacentral:rRNA from 1 species